rnacentral:rRNA from 1 species
GUAGCGGCGAGCGAACGGGGAGCAGCCCAGAGUCUGAAUCAGCUUGUGUGUUAGUGGAACGGUCUGGAAAGUCCGACGGUACAGGGUGAUAGUCCCGUACACCAAAAUGCACAGGCUGUGAACUCGAAGAGUAGGGCGGGACACGUGGUAUCCUGUCUGAAUAUGGGGGGACCAUCCUCCAAGGCUAAAUACUCCUGACUGACCGAUAGUGAACCAGUACCGUGAGGGAAAGGCGAAAAGAACCCCGGCGAGGGGAGUGAAAAAGAACCUGAAACCGUGUACGUACAAGCAGUGGGAGCACCUUCGGGUGUGACUGCGUACCUUUUGUAUAAUGGGUCAGCGACUUAUAUUCUGUAGCAAGGUUAACCGUAUAGGGGAGCCGCAGGGAAACCGAGUCUUAACUGGGCGUUAAGUUGCAGGGUAUAGACCCGAAACCCGGUGAUCUAGCCAUGGGCAGGUUGAAGGUUGGGUAACACUAACUGGAGGACCGAACCGACUAAUGUUGAAAAAUUAGCGGAUGACUUGUGGCUGGGGGUGAAAGGCCAAUCAAACCGGGAGAUAGCUGGUUCUCCCCGAAAGCUAUUUAGGUAGCGC